GCGCCUGUGGCCUAAUGGACAAGGCACUGGCCUCCGAAGCCAGGCAUGCCCGUUCAACUCGGGCCAGGCGCG
rnacentral:tRNA from 1 species